UUCGCCACCUUCUGGUGGACGCAAACCGACGGUGAGCUCCGUCGUGAGCAGCGCUGCUCUUUGCCGCCGACGUGCUCAUGCGCGCUCGAGCUAGAGCUCGCCCUAGAGAAGGUCCUGUACGCGCUUCUCCUCGAGGGCCUUGUCCAGCUCUUCGACUCCGGCAGUUAUUCAGGCACCAGGAAGCUAGCAGCAAGACUAGAACUGCUCGCGAUAGCCGUUCGUGAGCUGGUGCGGGUGGAGGUCGAUCAGCACCUAGACGGGAGCAGUAUGUCAUAAUAAUUACCUGUUCGGCCGAGGUUACUCGAGCUAGGAUGAAGAGGGCCAAGCCAUGAGGGGACGCCGGAUGUUGCUGAGCGGCGGACAAUGCAGAGCCUCGUGCGGCUGCCGCUGGCCGGGCGGCGGAGCUAUGAGGAAGUUGUGAGGCUGGACGCGGCGCAGGGUCGGGCUCGUGGGAGCGCGUACCGCAGGGGUCGCGACGUGCACGGGCUUGGCCGGCCAGAGGUGCGGCGGUCUAGCUUGGGGAGGACUGCGUCCAUGGAAUUACUGCGUCCAUGGUCGAGCCGGCAAGAGAAGACGAAGCUAAUUAAUUCUGGUUUCUGGAUCGAUCCGGUCCUGGUCAAUGUAAUAGUAUAAGUGUAUAACUUGCUAAUCAGGAUUUUUUAAAUUCUCUCUUCAUUAA